GCAGGUAGAGCUCAGUGGUAGAGCACAUGCUUUGUGUGCAUGAGGUCCUGGGUUCAAUCCCCAGUGCCUCCC
rnacentral:tRNA from 1 species